rnacentral:lncRNA from 1 species
GAUUUUUGUAUGUUAUCCAUAUAAGGCUCAAAAUUCACAAGGGUUAAUGAUCUACUGCUAAAGAUGUACAGUUCAGAUUUUAUUCUUACCUAUCAUACUAAAAAUGCACAACAAAUUUUUCACAUAACACCAUAAGACUUUAGUCAAGAGAACUAAGAAAAAUACUCAUAAUUGUUAUUAAAAAACCAAAGGAAAAAGCAUGCAAUUUUUUUAUUUAAGAAAGCAAAUAAAAACCAAAAACAGAGAAAAAA